CCUACGGGAGGCAGCAGUGGGGGAUAUUGCACAAUGGGGGGAACCCUGAUGCAGCGACGCCGCGUGGGUGAAGGAGCAUUUCGGUGCGUAAAGCUCUAUCAGCAGGGAAGAAGAUGACGGUACCUGACCAAGAAGCCCCGGCUAACUACGUGCCAGCAGCCGCGGUAAUACGUAGGGGGCAAGCGUUAUCCGGAUUUACUGGGUGUAAGGGGGGCGUAGACGGUAAUGUAAGCCAGGAGUGAAAGCCCGGGGCCCAACCCCGGGACUGCUUUUGAAACUGGUUGGCUGGAGUACAGGAGGGGCAGGCGGAAUUCCUGGUGUAGCGGUGAAAUGCGUAGAUAUCAGGAGGAACACCGGCGGCGAAGGCGGCCUGCUGGACUGUAACUGACGUUGAGGCUCGAAAGCGUGGGGAGCAAACAGGAUUAGAUACCCGUGUAGUC
rnacentral:rRNA from 1 species